rnacentral:misc_RNA from 1 species
GAUGAAGAACGUAGCGAAAUGCGAUAAGUAAUGUGAAUUGCAGAAUUCAGUGAAUCAUCGAAUCUUUGAACGCACAUUGCGCCCGGUAGUAUUCUGCCGGGCAUGCCUGUUCGAGCGUCAUUUCAACCAUCAAGCCCCAGCGCUUGUGUUUGGGGCCUGCGGCUGCCGCAGCCCCCCAAAAGCAGUGGCGGGCUCGCUAUCACACCGAGUGCAGUAGUUCAUCUUCUCUCCGGUCUUGUGAGGCGGGUUCCGGCCGUGAAACACCCCACUACAUUCAAGGUUGACCUCGGAUCAGGUAGGAAUACCCGCUGAACUUAAGCAUAUCAAUAAGCGGAGGA